rnacentral:rRNA from 1 species
UGGGGAAUAUUGCACAAUGGGCGCAAGCCUGAUGCAGCCAUGCCGCGUGUGUGAAGAAGGCCUUCGGGUUGUAAAGCAUCUUUCAGCGAGGAGGAAGGUGGUGUAGCUUAAUACGCUCAUCAAUUGACGUUACUCGCAGAAGAAGCACCGGCUAACUCCGUGCCAGCAGCCGCGGUAAUACGGAGGGUGCAAGCGUUAAUCGGAAUUACUGGGCGUAAAGCGCACGCAGGCGGUUUGUUAAGUCAAGAUGUGAAAAUCCCCGGGGCUCAACCUGGGAACUGCAUUUGAAACUGGCAAGCUAGAGUCUCGUAGAGGGGGGUAGAAUUCCAGGUGUAGCGGUGAAAUGCGUAGAGAUCUGGAGGAAUACCGGUGGCGAAGGCGGCCCCCCUGGACGAAGACUGACGCUCAGGUGCGAAAGCGUGGGGCAGCAAACAGGAUUAGAUACCCUGGUAGUCCACGCUGUAAACGAUGUCGAUUUGGAGGUUGUGCCCUUGAGGCGU